rnacentral:misc_RNA from 1 species
AACGCACGAGACCUGCGGACCUGCGGAGGGAUCAUUAAUGAGAAACUGCCCCUCGCGGGUAGAUCUCCCACCCUUUGUAAACUUACCUUUGUUGCUUUGGCAGGCCCGUCUCCGGACCGCCGGCUUCGGCUGGCCAGUGCCUGCCAGAGGACUCUAAAACUCUGUCUGUCAGUGUUGUCUGAGUCUAUAUACAAUCGUUAAAACUUUCAACAACGGAUCUCUAGAUCGGAAGAGCACACG